AGCGUUAUCCGGAUUUAUUGGGUUUAAAGGGUCCGUAGGCGGAUCUGUAAGUCAGUGGUGAAAUCUCACAGCUUAACUGUGAAACUGCCAUUGAUACUGCAGGUCUUGAGUGUUGUUGAAGUAGCUGGAAUAAGUAGUGUAGCGGUGAAAUGCAUAGAUAUUACUUAGAACACCAAUUGCGAAGGCAGGUUACUAAGCAACAACUGACGCUGAUGGACGAAAGCGUGGGGAGCGAACAGGAUUAGAUACCCUGGUAGUCCACGCCGUAAACGAUGCUAACUCGUUUUUGGGGCGUAAGCUUCAGAGACUAAGCGAAAGUGAUAAGUUAGCCACCUGGGGAGUACGAACGCAAGUUUGAAACUCAAAGGAAUUGACGGGGGCCCGCACAAGCGGUGGAUUAUGUGGUUUAAUUCGAUGAUACGCGAGGAACCUUACCAAGGCUUAAAUGGGAAAUGACAGGUUUAGAAAUAGACUUUUCUUCGGACAUUUUUCAAGGUGCUGCAUGGUUGUCGUCAGCUCGUGCCGUGAGGUGUUAGGUUAAGUCCUGCAACGAGCGCAACCCCUGUCACUAGUUGCCAUCAUUAAGUUGGGGACUCUAGUGAGACUGCCUACGCAAGUAGAGAGGAAGGUGGGGAUGACGUCAAAUCAUCACGGCCCUUACGCCUUGGGCCACACACGUAAUACAAUGGCCGGUACAGAGGGCAGCUACACAGCGAUGUGAUGCAAAUCUCGAAAGCCGGUCUCAGUUCGGAUUGGAGUCUGCAACUCGACUCUAUGAAGCUGGAAUCGCUAGUAAUCGCGCA
rnacentral:rRNA from 1 species